AAUGGAGCGUCCUAACCCGGGGAGGCCGUAACCUUGCUCCUUGGGUGACGAGUGGCGGACGGGUGAGUAAUGUCUGGGAAACUGCCCGAUGGAGGGGGAUAACUACUGGAAACGGUAGCUAAUACCGCAUAACGUCGCAAGACCAAAGAGGGGGACCUUCGGGCCUCUUGCCAUCGGAUGUGCCCAGAUGGGAUUAGCUAGUAGGUGGGGUAACGGCUCACCUAGGCGACGAUCCCUAGCUGGUCUGAGAGGAUGACCAGCCACACUGGAACUGAGACACGGUCCAGACUCCUACGGGAGGCAGCAGUGGGGAAUAUUGCACAAUGGGCGCAAGCCUGAUGCAGCCAUGCCGCGUGUAUGAAGAAGGCCUUCGGGUUGUAAAGUACUUUCAGCGAGGAGGAAGGUGUUGUGGUUAAUAACCGCAGCAAUUGACGUUACUCGCAGAAGAAGCACCGGCUAACUCCGUGCCAGCAGCCGCGGUAAUACGGAGGGUGCAAGCGUUAAUCGGAAUUACUGGGGCGUAAAGCGCACCAGGCGGUCUGUCAGUCGGAUGUGAAUCCCCGGGGCUCACCUGGGAACUGCAUCCAAACUGGGAGGCUAGAUCUUGGUGAGGGGGGGAGAAUUCCCGGGGCGCGGUGAAAUGCGUAAAAUCUGGAGAAUCCCG
rnacentral:rRNA from 1 species